rnacentral:misc_RNA from 1 species
AACACUGUUAACCUGCGGUACCUGCGGAAGGAUCAUUACCGAGUUUACAAACUCCCAACCCUAUGUGAACCUUACCAAUCGUUGCUUCGGCGGGCUUAGCCCCCGCGCCCUCGCCGGCGCCGGGAGAAAGGCGCCCGCCGGGGACCCCAAACCCAAUGUUUUUCAUGCAGUAUUUCUGAGUGGCAAACGCAAAAAUAAAUCAAAACUUUUAGCAAUGGAUCUCAGAUCGGAAGAGCACAC